GACGAACGCUGGCGGCGUGCUUAACACAUGCAAGUCGAACGGAAAGGCCUGCUUUCCCUUGUGGAUUGCGGGUACUCGAGUGGCGAACGGGUGAGUAACACGUGAGUGAUCUGCCCCCAACUAGGGUAUAAGCCUGGGAAACUGGGUCUAAUUCCCGAUAGGACUGCAGGGUGGUGCCUGUGGUGGAACACGAUUUUCUAGUGGUUGGGGAUGAGCUCGCGGCCUAUCAGCUUGUUGGUGGGGUAAUGGCCUACCAAGGCGGCGACGGGUAGCCGGCCUGAGAGGGUGGACGGCCACAUUGGGACUGAGAUACGGCCCAGACUCCUACGGGAGGCAGCAGUGGGGAAUAUUACACAAUGGGCGGAAGCCUGAUGCAGCGACGCCGCGUGGGGGAUGACGGCCUUCGGGUUGUAAACUCCUUUCGACCGCGAGGAAGCCACCUGGUUGGAAGGGUGGUGACGGUAGUGGUAGAAGAAGCACCGGCUAACUACGUG
rnacentral:rRNA from 1 species